CCAGGCCCAGCUGGGAGCUCUUUGGGGAGCAGAGCACUUGGGGUCCCCUGCACCAUGGCCUGGCCUCUUGUCUGCCUCUUCCUGCUCACUGUCUGCUCAGGUUCCUUCUUCCAGCUUGUGGUGACUCAGCCUCCCUCUGCCUCCACAUCCCUGGGAGCCACAGCCAAACUCUCCUGCACCCUGAGCGGUGGGGACAGCAGCAGGGAUAUUUAUUGGUACCAGCAGAGACCAGGGAAGGCCCUUCGGUAUAUCAUGUAUGUUGGCAGUGGUGGAAGUGCAGGCAGGGGCGAUGGGAUCCCUGAUCGCUUCUCUGGCUCAGGCUCUGGGGCCACCAGAUACUUGUCCAUCAGCAACAUCCAGCCUGAGGAUGAGGCAGAUUACUACUGUCAGUCCUCUUAUCAUGCUGGUGGUGGUUAUGCUCACACAGUGACACACUCAGUGUUGAACAAGCUGGUGGUGCAUCGGGCCAGUUGUGAGUUCUACCAGCACAAGCUGAGAGGACAGGCUGGCAGCUGGAGGGUCACCCACAGCCCCAGCCACCCCAGGGCCAGAAGCAAGCAGAGGGAGCAAGCCCAGGGUGGUGAGGAACCCACAAGGGAAGAGGCUAAAGACAAAUUCAGAUGA